UACGAAGGGGGCUAGCGUUGCUCGGAAUCACUGGGCGUAAAGGGUGCGUAGGCGGGUCUUUUAAGUCAGGGGUGAAAUCCCAGAGCUCAACUCUGGAACUGCCUUUGAUACUGGGUGUCUUGAGUAUGGAAGAGGUGAGUGGAAUUCCGAGUGUAGAGGUGAAAUUCGUAGAUAUUCGGAGGAACACCAGUGGCGAAGGCGGCUCACUGGUCCAUUACUGACGCUGAGGUGCGAAAGCGUGGGGAGCGAACAGG
rnacentral:rRNA from 1 species